GCGCGAGUCAAUGGGUNUUGAAUAGGCCCAUGGGCGCAAUGAAAGCAAAGGGCGGCCUCANCGCCGUCCGAAUUGGGAUCCCCCUCUCGGGGGGGGCGGCACCAACGACCCGUCCUAUUCGGCUCGCCGAUUGGGCGGAGUUUGAGCGUACACGUUGGGACCCGAAAGAUGGUGAACUAUGCCCGGACAGGACGAGGCCAGAGGAAACUUUGGUGGAGGUCCGCAGCGGUUUUGACGUGCAAAUCGAUCGUCAGAUCUGGGUCUAGGUGCGAAA
rnacentral:rRNA from 1 species